rnacentral:sRNA from 1 species
AAUUCUCUCAGAUCGAGCUAAUGAGCUCAU